UCUUUGGCAGAGACGGCAACCAGUCCUGAUGGUGCCCUGAAAUCUUCUCCUCCUCCUCCUCCCCCUCCUCCCCAGGUUAACCACGCUUCUUCUCAGAUUCAGCACCCUGCUUUUCUCCCUAGCCAUGGACUCUACACAUGCCAGAUUGGCAAAUUUCACAACUGGACAAAUGGGGCUUUCCUCACUCAGAGUUCCCUUCUAAAUGUGAGGUCCUUUUUGGGAGUAAAUCACCACCAUGCUGCUCAUCACAAUCACCACAUCCAGGCCCAGCAACAGUCUUCUGUUUUAACAGCAACCCUGGGAGCUCUAAGCAGCGAAAAACCUUCAGAGAGGACCAGUCCCAAACACAUAGAAAGAGAAAAUGUACCAAGAACUGACUCCCCACCCCAGCCGCUAAAAUCGCCCUUCCAGCCUGUCCGUGACAACUCUUUGGCUCAGCAAGAGGGAACACCGAGAAUUUUAACAGCUCUCCCUUCUGCUUGAUUAAAUGAUUUGGUGAAAAAAUGUUACAGAGACUGGUAUUAAGGACAGAGAGAGUGAAAAAAAAGGAAACGGUAUAAACAACUCCCAUCAAUCUCUUUUUGCAAUAAGGUGGUGCAAAUCCAUAAAAGCAUUACACAAAUCUGUAGAUGGAUCCCCUUCCUCAUUGUACCAUUUCAGAUCGUGUUAUUCUAACCAUUCUUGGAUUAUUUGUUUGGUAAAUGUUUUCCAUGUGUUUGUGGUUUUCUUUUUUCUGUAUAUAGAGUGAUUUCAGAUUGUAAAUAACACGUCAGCAAAACUUGUCUAAAUCAUAUAUUUUUGUCUAAUAAACUAAAUGAAAUUAUGAGCUCUCUUCAGGUAUGUAUUCUGUUGCUACAGAUCUUAUACAUAUAUUACAAAUCUAUUCAAACAUUUAUAAUUUGCUCUCCAAAAAGUCAAGUCUCCUUCUUUAGGUAACUGAAACUUAAAGUAUGAAAUCCAAAGUAUUUUUCUGAAAACAAGCUGCGAGCUUCCUUUCUCAUUCACGCAAAUUUAGGAAGUUGAGUGAAGCUGGCUCGUGCCUUAGUAAUAUUAAAGUUAUUUUUUUCAA